rnacentral:rRNA from 1 species
CCUACGGGAGGCAGCAGUGGGGAAUAUUGGGCAAUGGGCGCAAGCCUGACCCAGCAACGCCGCGUGAAGGAAGAAGGCUCUCGGGUUGUAAACUUCUUUUAUCAGGGACGAAGCAAGUGCCGGUACCUGUUUAUUAAGCCACGGUUAACUACGUGCCAGCAGCCGCGGUAAUAGGUAGGUGGCAAGCGUUAUCCGGAUUUCCGGGGUGUAAAGGGCGGGUAGGGGGGAAAGCAAGUCAGAUGUGAAAACCAUGGGCUCAACCUGUGACCUGCAUUUGAAACUGUUUUUCUUGAGUACUGGAGAGGUAGACGGAAUUCCUAGUGUAGCGGUGAAAUGCGUAGAUAUUAGGAGGAACACCAGUGGCGAAGGCGGUCUGCUGGACAGCAACUGACGCUGAGGCGCGAAAGCGUGGGGAGCAAACAGGAUUAGAUACCCCUGUAGUC